rnacentral:sRNA from 1 species
ACUGGGCGUGGUGGUGCACACCUGUUAUCCCAGCAGCUUUUGGAGGCUGAGGCAGGAGGAUCACAAGUUCAGAGGCAGCCUGAGCAUAAGAGAAAGGUGCUAAGCAACUCAGUGAGACCCUGUCUCGA